rnacentral:misc_RNA from 1 species
CCCUGUCCCUGUGAAAAACAGCGCAACAAUCAGGAGCUUGCGCUUUAACCUUUUUGUUAUUAAAUCUUCUUGAAGAUUCUCAAUUUCAAGGUUAAGUUUUUGUUCUUUUAAUUCAAUCAUGAAUUUUCCUUCUUCCUGUGCUAAGUGCCGCUUAGUCGGACGAACCUUUCUCAGUUCAUGUAAUUAUUAUACUCUUUUUGUUUUGUGUGUACAAUACAAAGUUGAUUUUCAUUUG